UACGUAGGCAGCAAGCGUUGUUCGGAGUUACUGGGCGUAAAGGGUGCGUAGGCGGCCGUGUAAGUGUGGUGUGAAAUCUCCCGGCUUAACUGGGAGGGUGCGCUACAGACUGCAUGGCUAGAGUGUGGGAGAGGAAAGUGGAAUUCCUGGUGUAGCGGUGAAAUGCGUAGAUAUCAGGAGGAACACCGGUGGCGAAGGCGGAUCUCUGGGCCAUAACUGACGCUGAGGAGCGAAAGCAUGGGAGCGAACAGG
rnacentral:rRNA from 1 species